AGGGCCCCUCUCCCUCACAGCCCCUCCCCGGGCUCACCUGAGUGAGUGACCCCCUCACAGCCCCUCCGUGUGGUCACCUGAGGGCCCCUCUCCCUCACAGCCCCUCCCUGGGCUCACCUGAGUGAGUGACCCCCUCACAGCCCCUCCGUGUGGUCACCUGAGGGCCUCUCUCCCUCACAGCCCCUCCCUGGGCUCACCUGAAUGUCAACUGAACUGAGCACACGCUAGACCAAAUCCACCGCCUCCCCAAAGGUCACUUCUGAUUCACUCUCGAUGUGAAGUCAGGUGCACGCUCCCCAUUCCAAAGACCUGUGAGGUGUCCAGGCACUGAGAUGUGACCACGUCACCAGGAGCUGGCAGCUCACAUGGGGGGCCGGGGGAGCGGGAGUGGGGAGGAGAAGCAGGUGGAGGAGGACAUGGUCAAUGAAGACAGCGCCCUGCUGACCACUCCGCCCUGGCCCGGAGCCCUGGCUGCCCUCGGAGCUGAUUGUAUGCGCACUUGGACUGAGGUCUCUGCCCCGUACCCUCAUCUUCCUGGCUUCAAGGAGAAGUUAAACAGUGCAUGGUGGGAUGUGCAAAGUUAGAGAAGUGUCUGUGGCCAUCCCGGCCCUACAGGGGGAAGGAUGAAGAACUAGCUCCAGGUCUGAAGGACGGCCAGCCCACAGGAGAAGCUGACCUUGUGAACACCAUGCUCUAGCAGCACCCAUUGCAGACUCUCAGAAAGAGAGGCCAGGCCCAUCCUGAGAUGCCUCCAAUCCCAGCUCCCAAAGACAGGCCUGGACCCCUUUCCACCAUCACUCCAGACUGCCAGUGUGUCCAGUGAGGGGGGAGAUGUAUCAUAAAUCAAUAUAUCUCUCGCACUCACAGGCACGUACCCUC